UACGCAGGGGGCUAGCGUUGUUCGGAUUUACUGGGCGUAAAGCGCACGUAGGCGGAUCGUUAAGUCGGGGGUGAAAUCCUGGAGCUCAACUCCAGAACUGCCUUCGAUACUGGCGAUCUUGAGUCCGGAAGAGGUGAGUGGAACUCCUAGUGUAGAGGUGGAAUUCGUAGAUAUUAGGAAGAACACCAGUGGCGAAGGCGGCUCACUGGUCCAUUACUGACGCUGAGGUGCGAAAGCGUGGGGAGCAAACAGG
rnacentral:rRNA from 1 species